CCUACGGGAGGCUGCAGUGGGGAAUAUUGCACAAUGGGGGAAACCCUGAUGCAGCGACGCCGCGUGAGUGAAGAAGUAAUUCGUUAUGUAAAGCUCUAUCAGCAGGGAAGAAAAUGACGGUACCUGAGUAAGAAGCCCCGGCUAACUACGUGCCAGCAGCCGCGGUAAUACGUAGGGGGCAAGCGUUAUCCGGAUUUACUGGGUGGAAAGGGAGCGUAGACGGCAGUGCAAGUCUGUAGUGAAAGGCGGGGGCUCAACCCCCGGACUGCUCUGGAAACUGUACGGCUGGAGUGCAGGAGAGGUAAGUGGAAUUCCUAGUGUAGCGGUGAAAUGCGUAGAUAUUAGGAGGAACACCAGUGGCGAAGGCGGCUUACUGGACUGUAACUGACGUUGAGGCUCGAAAGCGUGGGGAGCAAACAGGAUUAGAUACCCCAGUAGUC
rnacentral:rRNA from 1 species